AACGAACGCUGGCGGCAUGCCUAACACAUGCAAGUCGAACGGAAACUCCCUGCCUUGUUGGGCUGCUCUAGUUACCACCUGGGGAGUUGCCCUUAAGUUCCGUAUCCCUGCCCUUGAGGUAUGCUCAUGCAACAUGAUGUCAUCCCGCCAAAGAUUUAUCGCCUUUUGGUGGGGCCUCGUUGGAUUAGCCAGUUGGUAGGGGAAAAGCCUACCAAGGCGACGAUCCAUAGCUGGUUGGAGAGGAUGAGCAGCCACACUGGGACUGAGACACGGCCCAGACUCCUACGGGAGGCAGCAGUGGGGAAUAUUGGACAAUGGGCGAAAGACUGAUCCAGCAAUGCCGCGUGAGUGAUGAAGGCCUUAGGGGUGUAAAGCUCUUUUACCCGGGAUGAUAAUGACAGUACCGGGAGAAUAAGCUCCGGCCAACUCCGUG
rnacentral:rRNA from 1 species